GGUGAAUCAUCGAAUCUUUGAACGCACAUUGCGCCCCCUGGCAUUCCUAGGGGCAUGCCUGUUCGAGCGUCAUUAACAACCAUCCGGCGCGAUCUUGCGGUCGUGCCUGGUCAUGGGGGAUGGCCACCUUCGGGUGCCCACCCCCGAAAUGCAACGGCGGACGACCCCCGUCGGCGCACGCAGCGUAGUAGGUAAUCCCCUCGCGCGUGCCCACGGAGGGACUGACUGGCCGGUUGAACCCCCACGUCCUGCGGUUGACCUCGGAUCAGGUAGGGAUACCCGCUGAACUUAA
rnacentral:misc_RNA from 1 species